AUACGGAGGGGGCUAGCGUUGUUCGGAAUUACUGGGCGUAAAGCGUACGUAGGCGGACUGAUCAGUUGGGGGUGAAAUCCCAGGGCUUAACCCUGGAACUGCCUUCAAUACUGUCAGUCUUGAGUUUGGGAGAGGUGAGUGGAAUUCCUAGUGUAGAGGUGAAAUUCAUAGAUAUUAGGCGGAACACCAGUGGCGAAGGCGGCUCACUGGCCCAUUACUGACGCUGAGGUACGAAAGCGUGGGGAGCAAACAGGAUUAGAAACCCUAGUAGUCC
rnacentral:rRNA from 1 species